UACGUAGGCAGCGAGCGUUGUUCGGAAUUACUGGGCGUAAAGGGCUCGUAGGUGGCCAACUAAGUCACACGUGAAAUCCCUCGGCUUAACCGGGGAACUGCGUGUGAUACUGGAUGGCUUGAGUUUGGGAGAGGGAUGCGGAAUUCCAGGUGUAGCGGUGAAAUGCGUAGAUAUCUGGAGGAACACCGGUGGCGAAGGCGGCAUCCUGGACCAAUACUGACGCUGAGGAGCGAAAGCCAGGGAGCAACGGG
rnacentral:rRNA from 1 species